GACGAACGCUGGCGGCGUGCUUAACACAUGCAAGUCGAGCGAAGAGCGAUGGAAGCUUGCUUCUAUCAAUCUUAGUGGCGAACGGGUGAGUAACGCGUAAUCAACCUGCCCUUCAGAGGGGGACAACAGUUGGAAACGACUGCUAAUACCGCAUACGAUCUAAUCUCGGCAUCGAGGAUAGAUGAAAGGUGGCCUCUACAUGUAAGCUAUCACUGAAGGAGGGGAUUGCGUCUGAUUAGCUAGUUGGAGGGGUAACGGCCCACCAAGGCGAUGAUCAGUAGCCGGUCUGAGAGGAUGAACGGCCACAUUGGGACUGAGACACGGCCCAGACUCCUACGGGAGGCAGCAGUGGGGAAUCUUCCGCAAUGGACGAAAGUCUGACGGAGCAACGCCGCGUGAGUGAUGACGGCCUUCGGGUUGUAAAGCUCUGUUAAUCGGGACGAAAGGCCUUCUUGCGAAUAGUGAGAAGGAUUGACGGUACCGGAAUAGAAAGCCACGGCUAACUACGUG
rnacentral:rRNA from 1 species